rnacentral:rRNA from 1 species
AUUGAACGCUGGCGGCAGGCCUAACACAUGCAAGUCGAGCGAGCGGCGGACGGGUGAGUAAUGUCUGUGAAACUGCCUUAUGGAGGGGGAUAACUACUGGAAACGGUAGCUAAUACCGCAUACCAUCGGAUGUGCCCAGAUGGGAUUAGCUAGUAGGUGGGGUAAAGGCUCACCUAGGCGACGAUCCCUAGCUGGUCUGAGAGGAUGACCAGCCACACCGGAACGGAGACACGGUCCAGACUCCUACGGGAGGCAGGAGUGGGGAAUAUUGCACAAUGGGGGCAAGCCUGAUGCAGCCAUGCCGCGUGUAUGAAGAAGGCCUUCGGGUUGUAAAGUACUUUCAGCGGGGAGUCGUUACCCGCCGAAGAAGCACCGGCUAACUCCGUGCCAGGAGCCGCGGUAAUUC